rnacentral:tRNA from 1 species
GAGGGUAUAGCUCAAGUGAUAGAGUGCAUGCUUAGCAAGCACGAGAUCCUGGGUUCAAUUCCCUGUACCUCCU